rnacentral:rRNA from 1 species
GAUGAACGCUGGCGGCGUGCUUAACACAUGCAAGUCGAACGGAGCUUAGAAGGAAGCUUGCUUUCAUUUAAGCUUAGUGGCGGACGGGUGAGUAACGCGUGAGCAACCUGCCCUCGAGUGGGGAAUAACAUCGAGAAAUCGGUGCUAAUACCGCAUGAAGUCGAGAGACCGCAUGAUCUUUCGACCAAAGGAUUUAUUCGCUUGAGGAUGGGCUCGCGUCCGAUUAGCUAGUUGGUGAGGUAACGGCCCACCAAGGCAACGAUCGGUAGCCGAACUGAGAGGUUGAUCGGCCACAUUGGGACUGAGACACGGCCCAGACUCCUACGGGAGGCAGCAGUGGGGAAUAUUGGGCAAUGGGCGAAAGCCUGACCCAGCAACGCCGCGUGAAGGAUGAAGGUCUUCGGAUUGUAAAC